rnacentral:rRNA from 1 species
GACGAACGCUGGCGGCGUGCUUAACACAUGCAAGUCGAGCGGUAAGGCCCUUUCGGGGGUACACGAGCGGCGAACGGGUGAGUAACACGCGGGUGACCUGCCCUCAGCUCUGGGAUAAGCCUGGGAAACCGGGUCUAAUACUGGAUAUGACUCCAUGACGCAUGUUGUGGGGUGGAAAGCCUUGUGCGGCUGAGGAUGGGCCCGCGGCCCAUCAGCUUGUUGGUGGGGNGAUGGCCUACCAAGGCGACGACGGGUAGCCGGCCUGAGAGGGCGACCGGCCACACUGGGACUGAGACACGGCCCAGACUCCUACGGGAGGCAGCAGUGGGGGAAUCUUGCGCAAUGGGCGAAAGCCUGACGCAGCGACGCCGCGUGAGGGAU